AUUGAACGCUGGCGGCAGGCCUAACACAUGCAAGUCGAGCGGAUGAAGGGAGCUUGCUCCUGGAUUCAGCGGCGGACGGGUGAGUAAUGCCUAGGAAUCUGCCUGGUAGUGGGGGAUAACGUCCGGAAACGGGCGCUAAUACCGCAUACGUCCUGAGGGAGAAAGUGGGGGAUCUUCGGACCUCACGCUAUCAGAUGAGCCUAGGUCGGAUUAGCUAGUUGGUGGGGUAACGGCCUACCAAGGCGACGAUCCGUAACUGGUCUGAGAGGAUGAUCAGUCACACUGGAACUGAGACACGGUCCAGACUCCUACGGGAGGCAGCAGUGGGGAAUAUUGGACGAUGGGCGAAAGCCUGAUCCAGCCAUGCCGCGUGUGUGAAGAAGGUCUUCGGAUUGUAAAGCACUUUAAGUUGGGAGGAAGGGCAGUAAGUUAAUACCUUGCUGUUUUGACGUUACCAACAGAAUAAGCACCGGCUAACUUCGUG
rnacentral:rRNA from 1 species